rnacentral:lncRNA from 1 species
UAAACCCGAACUCAUUAAAUCCAAUAAGCCGAACCCGUAACCGGCCCGGACCAUAACUCAUACGGGUACAAAAAUCUCAACCCAGCCCGGCCCGAUCCACCCAUUUAUCACCCUUACCCCUACUACCAAACACCUUCAAUUAAGGUUCCAAUUCAAUUUCUUACAUAUCCAUAUUCAAAGGAAAACAUCAAGUCUGUCAAGUGGACACAGUAAUAAAGAGAUGAAUCUGACAUUGAGAAGCAGUAGUCAAAUUCUGAAUAUGGCCAAAACUGUGAGAUAAUUAUAUAAUGAGUCCUCCAUCUUAAACACAAAUCAUAAAAAUAACUCCAACUCAUAUUUUACGGGGAAAAAUCGAUCAAAAUACCUUAUGCCAUGAACAAAUUCCAUGGCUCUAUCAUAUUUCAAGCCAUCAUUAUUUUCAGAAUAAAGGGAAUCAAAGAGAAACAGAUGAACCUGAAUUAUAGCUCUUCGAUUAAUAAAAUUUCAUUAGUUACAACCUUGAAUCAGCGAGUCCGUCAAGCAAUUACAACGACACAUAGGAAAUUGGAACCGGGAAACACUCGACACCAAAACGGAUUGUCCCACGACCCAUAUGUAUCUCAGAUUUGAAUAACCAAAAACUCACUGCUCUUAAUUUGUUUGGAGCUGCAUUCGGCUAAAAUAGAAGCGAGAGCAAGGGCGAUUAGCUCUGUUUCCGCUAAUUUGACUCGUUUUUCCAUUGAUUUUCCGUCUCUAUUUGCCGAUAUAUUCGCGUGUGUGGUCGUGUGGUGAGGGGCGAGUUGAGAUGCGUGAGAUGAACAUGUGGUGGUUAUCUAGGAUCCUUGGUUUUUGUGGGUGUGCUGAGUGUGAAAAAUGGCAGAUGCUUUUUAUGCUCUCUAGGUCUCCUAGGCGUUACUCUUGUUUGUUGAAGAAGAUUGAAUGGAACUCCAAUCUCAUGGAGUGUAACAGCUGGGUCCUUUUUUCUCUACAUACGCUACUGGUUGUUUUCAAGAGGAAAGGGUGUGAUGAAAUACAUGGGGGGUCUUUCUUGGUGUUAUCGACGCAGCCUUUUGUGUGUAUUUUCAUGUGUUUUUGGUUGACUUAAAGGUUGUGAGUGGUGGACAAGGAGUGGGGAAGUGGGGAAAGUGGGAAAGUGGGAAAGUGGGGAGGUGGGUAGUGAGUAGAGAAAGUGUGAAUAAAUUCAAACAUGGUAAAAAAUUAGCUGUUCAUAGCUGUCAUUCUUUGCUUGAAAACAUGAAGAAUUUUCAAACAAAGAUAAGAUGAGUGAUAUGACUAAUUUUUUGGCCAUACCAUUAUU